GUUAUACAGUGGAAGGUGUGUUCAUGUCUCUCUGUUACACAGUGGAAGGUGUGUUCAUGUCUCUCUGUUACACAGUGGAAGGUGUGUUCAUGUCUCUCCUCUCUGUUACACAGUGGAAGGUGUGUUCAUGUCUCUCCUCUCUGUUACACAGUGGAAGGUGUGUUCAUGUCUCUCCUCUCUGUUACACAGUGGAAGGUGUAUUCAUGUCUCUCUGUUACACAGUGGAAGGUGUGUUCAUGUCUCUCCUCUCUGUUACACAGUGGAAGGUGUGUUCAUGUCUCUCCUCUCUGUUACACAGUGGAAGGUGUGUUCAUGUCUCUCUGUUACACAGUGGAAGGUGUAUUCAUGUCUCUCUGUUACACAGUGGAAGGUGUGUUCAUGUCUCUCCUCUCUGUUACACAGUGGAAGGUGUGUUCAUGUCUCUCCUCUCUGUUACACAGUGGAAGGUGUGUUCAUGUCUCUCUGUUACACAGUGGAAGGUGUGUUCAUGUCUCUCCUCUCUGUUACACAGUGGAAGGUGUGUUCAUGUCUCUCCUCUCUGUUACACAGUGGAAGGUGUGUUCAUGUCUCUCCUCUCUGUUACACAGUGGAAGGUGUGUUCAUGUCUCUCCUCUCUGUUACACAGUGGAAGGUGUGUUCAUGUCUCUCCUCUCUGUAUUUGGCAUUGAUGUGGAAUAAGCUAAAACAGUCUAGUCUGGCAGGGAGGAGUAUUUGGCAUUGAUGUGGAAUAAGCUAAAACGGUCUAGUCUGGCAGGGAGGAGUAUUUGGCAUUGAUGUGGAAUAAGCUAGAACAGUCUAGUCUGGUAGGGAGGAGUAUUUGGCAUUGAUGUGGAAUAAGCUAAAACAGUCUUGUCUGGCAGGGAGGAGCAUUUGUCAUUGAUGUGGAAUAAGCUAAAACAGUCUAGUCUGGCAGGGAGGAGUAUUUGGCAUUGAUGUGGAAUAAGCUAAAACAGUCUAGUCUGGCAGGGAGGAGUAUUUGGCAUUGAUGUGGAAUAAGCUAAAACAGUCUAGUCUGGCAGGGAGGAGUAUUUGGCAUUGAUGUGGAAUAAGCUAAAACAGUCUAGUCUGGCAGGGAGGAGUAUUUGGCAUUGAUGUGGAAUAAGCUAAAACAGUCUAGUCUGGCAGGGAGGAGUAUUUGGCAUUGAUGUGGAAUAAGCUAAAACAGUCUAGUCUGGCAGGGAGGAGUAUUUGGCAUUGAUGUGGAAUAAGCUAAAACAUUCAGUCUUGUCUGGCAGGGAGGAGUAUUUGGCAUUGAUGUGGAUGGAAUAAGCUAAAACAUUCGGUCUAGUCUGGCAGGGAGGAGUAUUUGGCAUUGAUGUGGAAUAAGCUAAAACAGUAUUCUGGCAGGGAGUAUUUGGCAUUGAUGUGGAAUAAGCUAACAGUCUAGUCUGGCAGGGAGGAGUAUUUGGCAUUGAUGUGGAAUAAGCUAUCAGGAGGUUUCUGUAUUGGCGUUUCAUCCAUCAUUACUUAGGCGGGGUGGCCUCCCUGUCAACCUCUGUUGCACCCAGCCUUAAAAACGAUUAUCUAGGGGAAACACUGGUCUGUCUUGUUCUAAGUCCCGUACCUCUGUUGCACCCAGCCUUAAAAACGAUUAUCUAGGGGAAACACUGGUCUGUCUUGUUCUAAGUCCCGUACCUCUGUUGCACCCAGCCUUAAAAACGAUUAUCUAGGGGAAACACUGGUCUGUCUUGUUCUAAGUCCCGUACCUCUGUUGCACCCAGCCUUAAAAACGAUUAUCUAGGGGAAACACUGGUCUGUCUUGUUCUAAGUCCCGUACCUCUGUUGCACCCAGCCUUAAAAACGAUUAUCUAGGGGAAACACUGGUCUGUCUUGUUCUAAGUCCCGUACCUCUGUUGCACCCAGCCUUAAAAACGAUUAUCUAGGGGAAACACUGGUCUGUCUUGUUCUAAGUCCCGUACCUCUGUUGCACCCAGCCUUAAAAACGAUUAUCUAGGGGAAACACUGGUCUGUCUUGUUCUAAGUCCCGUACCUCUGUUGCACCCAGCCUUAAAAACGAUUAUCUAGGGGAAACACUGGUCUGUCUUGUUCUAAGUCCCGUACCUCUGUUGCACCCAGCCUUAAAAACGAUUAUCUAGGGGAAACACUGGUCUGUCUUGUUCUAAGUCCCGUACCUCUGUUGCACCCAGCCUUAAAAACGAUUAUCUAGGGGAAACACUGGUCUGUCUUGUUCUAAGUCCCGUACCUCU